UCCAACGGUAGAGCACCGGAUUCCAAAUCCGAUGGUUGGGGGUUCGAAUCCCUCUUGCC
rnacentral:tRNA from 2 species